rnacentral:tRNA from 1 species
AGCUCAUCAGGAAAGAGCGCCAGCCUUCGAAGCUGGUUGCGCGGGGUUCAAGUCCCCGA